rnacentral:lncRNA from 10 species
UCGGGCCCCUGGGAAGACUCCAGGAGGUGAUGGAUGAACUUUGAGCUGGUCAUUGGUGAAAGAACAUGGAUUAGCUGAGCAGAAAAGAAGAAGGAAUACUGGAUGCAUUUCAGAAGCUAUCUCCUGAGCAGUGUGUAAUUCUCUCCUGGCUGUUUGAUGGUAAUGGGAGCUGUACAUGUAUCUGGAGAGAGGAGAACCAGCCUGGGGGGCAGUAUUCAGGCCACACGGUUCAAUAACGGGAAAGAAUGUCGUCACAUGAUUGCAUCAUGUUCUUCAAAAUGAAAUCUAUUGAACAGUAUAAACAACAAAGAACAUCAUUUGUCAGAAUGACCUGGGGGAAAUAGUCCAGUGAAACUAAGCAAAGGGAACUUUAUACCGUGAGGGAAAAUCAAUGGAUUGUAACAGAACCCUGCAAGAAGAGACAUAGCUUUCAAGUUCCAGAGACCUAGAGGUGACUGAGAAGCAGGAUGUACCAGAAACUGGGCUUCUUGUUCUACUUAUCUAGCGCCCUUUUCACAGUGUUGUAUAUGUAAAUAAAUAAUAAAGCAGUGUGAUUUUU